rnacentral:rRNA from 1 species
GACGAACGCUGGCGGCGUGCUUAACACAUGCAAGUCGAACGAUGAAACCGGAGCUUGCUCCGGUGGAUUAGUGGCGAACGGGUGAGUAACACGUGAGUAACCUGCCCUUGACUCUGGGAUAACUGCGGGAAACUGUAGCUAAUACCGGAUACGACCCUCGGAGGCAUCUCCUGGGGGUGGAAAGAAUUUCGGUCAAGGAUGGACUCGCGGCCUAUCAGCUAGUUGGUGAGGUAACGGCUCACCAAGGCGACGACGGGUAGCCGGCCUGAGAGGGUGACCGGCCACACUGGGACUGGGACACGGCCCAGACUCCUACGGGAGGCAGCAGUGGGGAAUAUUGCACAAUGGGCGCAAGCCUGAUGCAGCAACGCCGCGUGAGGGAUGACGGCCUUCGGGUUGUAAACCUCUUUUAGCAGGGAAGAAGCGAAAGUGACGGUACCUGCAGAAAAAGCACCGGCUAACUACGUGCCAGCCGCCGCGGUAA